rnacentral:rRNA from 1 species
GUGGGGAAUUUUGGACAAUGGGCGCAAGCCUGAUCCAGCAAUGCCGCGUGCAGGAAGAAGGCCUUCGGGUUGUAAACUGCUUUUGUACGGAACGAAACGGUCCUGGUUAAUACCCGGGGCUAAUGACGGUACCGUAAGAAUAAGCACCGGCUAACUACGUGCCAGCAGCCGCGGUAAUACGUAGGGUGCAAGCGUUAAUCGGAAUUACUGGGCGUAAAGCGUGCGCAGGCGGUGCUGUAAGACAGGCGUGAAAUACCCGGGCUUAACCUGGGAAUUGCGCUUGUGACUGCAGUGCUGGAGUGCGGCAGAGGGGGAUGGAAUUCCGCGUGUAGCAGUGAAAUGCGUAGAUAUGCGGAGGAACACCGAUGGCGAAGGCAAUCCCCUGGGCCUGCACUGACGCUCAUGCACGAAAGCGUGGGGAGCAAACAGGAUUAGAAACCCGGGUAGUCC